UACGGGGGGAGCAAGCGUUGUUCGGAAUUACUGGGCGUAAAGCGCGCGUAGGCGGCUUUGCAAGUCGGGUGUGAAAUCCCCAAGCUUAACUUGUGAACUGCAUUCGAGACUGCAUUGCUAGAGUAUGGGAGAGGGAAGUGGAAUUUCCGGUGUAGCGGUGAAAUGCGUAGAUAUCUGGAGGAACACCGGUGGCGAAGGCGGCAUCCUGGACCGGUAUUGACGCUGAUGCGCGAAAGCCAGGGGAGCAAACGGG
rnacentral:rRNA from 1 species